AUUGACUUGAAUUAUAUUUAUUUUAAAAAGACUGUUUCUAGUUGUUUUGAAUGAAUCCAGAACCCAUAAAUUAUAUCCCAGAAUACUGAAAGAAUCUGAUGAAAUAACACGACCUUCGACAGUAAAUCUGAGUCAAGAUGAUUUGGUUGAGGUAGAUACAGACAGAUAGAAGCUUCACAAGCACAAGAAUACUGUUCCCUGGCCUAUCCACAGCUUUGAGCAUACUGCCUGGCAUGUAUUAAUGGCUUGAUAAGUGUCCCUGACAAAAUUCCAAAAUCUAUUUUUUUGAAGGUUUGGGAACUGCGUUAGAUCAUCUGAAUAUUUCUCAUCAGGCUUCUGAUAGAUGCUUGAUAGCAGAUUUUAAGACUAUACUUUCUGAUAACAGGCAGUAUUGUAUAAAAAGCUGAAAGACCUAGUUGAAUUUGAGCACUGUUACUUACUAGUGCUACCUCUUACAAGUCACUUGACCCUGCUGAGCCUCAAUUUUCCCAUAUAUAAAAUGAUCAUUGUAAGCACUCAGCACCAGGCCUGGCACAUGAUAUGCACUCAAUAAAUACUACCUACUAAUUUUGAAGAUGAAGGCCCAGAAUAUACUAACUAUAUUGUCAGUUAAGAGUUGCCUUACAACCCUGGCUACUAAAUUGUCUGGUUCACAUGCCAUUACAAAGGGCCUUUACUUUCUCAUUCCCAUGAUGAAUCUCAGGUUACACGGCUGAGGAAAAUGUUGACAUCGUUAUUCUGUAUUUGCAUUAAAUACCAUUUAAAAGUUGUUUUUAUCAUACUUAUAUCUCACAUUAUUACCUUAAAAAUUCCGAAGGAUGUUAUAAAGUUGUUAAACAGGAUGUUUAAGCAAAUAUUAGUAAAACUUUCUCUCUUGCUCUUCUGGGAUCAAGAUUUGUAAUAUUUAGCCAAAACUGUCAGCAUGUGAGGCCAAGUUACCAAAGUGCUUUGACAUAAAAGCAAUGUUAUUUUAAACUAUUAGUUUAGAUAGUAUCUUGUCAGUUAAAAAAAAAAAAGUCCCUUUUGCAGUUAAUUGCCCUUUCCAAAUAACUUUAAUGAAAAUAUCUUGCCAAGAAACAUCUCUUUGAUUCAUUAAGCUGGGUUUAGAUUGUGCCUGAGUCACAAAGCACAGAGGUAAUUACAGGUUGAAAUUGAUUUGCGCCUCUUUAUAAAUAAGAACUGAUUAUAGAAUAAAUGUCUCAUUAAAUAUAAAAUAUUGACACUGUAUAUUAAUUAUGUUACUACUCAUGGUUGUGGCUCCCUUACAAUUCUCAUGCAAAAAUAAAUCCAAUUUUAAUCGGUUGUGAGAAAACAGUCCACCAUGUGCUUGUAUCCAGGAAUAAAGAAUUACAUAGAUUAUCUGGCAUAUUGUCAUCACAUCCUCUGUAACUAUUCAUAAAAACAAUAAUUCACAUUUUGGGAAUGCUUUUUCCAACAUCAAUCAGGAAAAUACAGCUUUAUAAGGUGUUUCAGAUUGCAAGAAUACAUCACAUUAGAAACCCAUUAUCAUGAGGGACAGGACUGGUUUUUAUUUGUUUAUGUGUAAUGUGUUGAUAUGCCAAGUAUUUUGAGAAAAGAUCUGACUCUGGACUUCAUUUGUACUGUUAGAAUGCAUUUUUCUUAGCAACUGAACAAUGUGUAUUCUUAUUUAAUUUUUGGAAUUACUUUACCAAUUCAAAAUGCCAUAUACUACAAUAUUUCAUUCACAGUCCCUAAAUUUGCCUGUUUGCCUUACCCACUUUCCAUCAUUUUAUUAAUAAAUUGAUUAUAAAACAUUAUACUACAAGUCAAGUACUUAUGAAUAGCCAAUACUAGCUAACUUCUCUAAUUCUCCCAGAGACAGCCCUUAACAUCAACCAAAUAAUUCUAGAGAAUAGUGCUUCUCCCCUUAUAAGGCUGAUUUGAGUGAAGAUAUUUUCCUCCCCCAAAAAGCUAUUAUGUUUAAUAAGUAUGAAGUUUAAAAUAUUUUAAAAUAUGAAUGAAACCCACCUCUAAACUCUCUAUAAGGAUCUAUUCCAGAAUUUAUACAAAUUGUUCAUUUUUUCUUAUUGAACUUGUAUUAAGCCAAGGGUCAGCAACUAUGCCUUCAAGCCCAAUCCAACCCCCACCUCCAUUUUUAUAAAUGAAGUUUUACUGGAAGACAGCCACUAUUCAUUUAUGUAUUAUCUAUGGUUAUUUGUAGGCCACAAUAGCAGAGGUGAGUAGCUGUGACAGACCACAUGGCCUUCAAAGCCUAAAAGACUAUCUGGAUCUUCAUAGAAAAAGCUUGCCAACUACUAUUUUUAAGCACUUUCAUAAAAACAAAACAAAUAAACUAUUUAAAUUUGUUUCAAUUACAAGGAUGUAAAUAUUUUUCUAUGUUCUUCUCAUCACAAAGACACACACUUGGGCCUAUACAUGAGUUGAUCAGAAAUUUUAUGGACUAGCCUGAAUAUCUAAACACUACUUACAUUGUUUCUUUCAAUUAUUUAAAAAACUGAGUUGACGUCUUCUGAAAUCAGGUUUAUGGAUAAUGAAUCAUGGAAAAUUGCUGACAAUAAUAGCUAGCACUACUUCAAUACAAACUUAGAGUUUAUUUACUCACAUUUAUAAACUAACUUUAACAUUAGAAAUUCUCCAAUUCUUAAA
rnacentral:lncRNA from 10 species